AUUCCUUCAAGUUUCAGCCUUGCGACCGUACUCCCCAGGCGGCGAGCUUAACGGCUUCCCUGCGACACUCCGAUCGCGAACUGCGAUCGGAUCAUCUAGCUCGCAUCGUUUACGGCUGGGACUACCCGGGUAUCUAAUCCGGUUCGCUCCCCCAGCUUUCAUCCCUCACCGUCGAGCGCGUUCUGGCGGACCGCCUUCGCCACUGGUGGUCUUCCGCAGAUCAAAGGAUUUUACCCCUACCUGCGGAGUACCGUCCGCCUCUCUCGCGGCCUAGUCUCGCUGUAUCUCCUGCGGCUCAACCGGUAAGCGGUUGAAU
rnacentral:rRNA from 1 species